CGCCCAUGCCGCUGAUAUUUCAAAAAUUUUUCAGAUGGCAGCGGAAUCGGCAUGCACGGGUUCGACGUUCAUCGCAUGAACGUUGUUUCGAGACCUUUCGUAAUUAGGUAAGUGAUGACCCAAAGAUUGAUUCAUAGAUUGAUUUUGAUGAUCACAACACCUUGAAGUAUAGAUACUAAUGUUUAUGUUGCAAGGAGAAAGAUAUUUAUUUUGCAAGGAACAUAGCAAGUUGGAAGAACACAAGAAGGCCUCCAAAAGCACUCAAGAAAAGUUAGAAGAAAGCUACAAGUUAUUGGCCCAAGUCUCAAGUUCAAAAGAUUCAAAUUGGAGGAGCAAAUUCAAGGAAAAUUUAAAAGAAUAGUCUUCGAGUCGACUCCUGAG
rnacentral:lncRNA from 1 species